rnacentral:rRNA from 1 species
GACGAACGCUGGCGGCGUGCUUUACACAUGCAAGUCGAACGGAAAGGCCCUGCUUUUGUGGGGUGCUCGAGUGGCGAACGGGUGAGAAACACGUGAGUAACCUGGCCUUGACUUUGGGAUAACUUCAGGAAACUGGGGUUAAUACCGGAUAGGAGCUCCUGAUGCAUGGUGGGGGUUGGAAAGUUUCGGCGGGUGGGGAUGGACUCGCGGCUUAUCAGCUUGUUGGUGGGGUAGUGGCUUACCAAGGCUUUGACGGGUAGCCGGCCUGAGAGGGUGACCGGCCACAUUGGGACUGAGCUACGGCCCAGACUCCUACGGGAGGCAGCAGUGGGGAAUAUUGCACAAUGGGUGGAAGCCUGAUGCAGCAACGCCGUGUGCGGGAUGACGGCCUUCGGGUUGGAAACCGCUUUCGCCCAUGACGAAGCUUUGUGUGACGGUAGUGGGUAAAGGAGCAGCGGCUAGCUACGUG